UACGGAGGGUGCAAGCAUUGAUCGGAAUUACUGGGCGUAAAGGGCGCGUAGACGGCUUUGAAAGUCAGAUGUGAAAUUCCGGGGCUCAACCCCGGAGCUGCAUUUGAAACUUCAGAGCUUAGAGGAUGGUAAGGGAAAACGGAAUUCCACGUGUAGCGGUGAAAUGCGUAGAUAUGUGGAAGAACACCAGUGGUGAAGACGGUUUUCUGUGCCAAACCAGACGCUGAAGCGCGAAAGCUAGGGGAGCAAACAGG
rnacentral:rRNA from 1 species